UACGUAGGGGGCUAGCGUUGUCCGGAAUCAUUGGGCGUAAAGAGCGUGUAGGCGGUCCGGUAAGUCCGCUGUGAAAGUCGGGGGCUCAACCCUCGAAUGCCGGUGGAUACUGUCGGGCUAGAGUGCGGAAGAGGCGAGUGGAAUUCCUGGUGUAGCGGUGGAAUGCGCAGAUAUCAGGAGGAACACCGAUGGCGAAGGCAGAUCUCUGGGCCGUAACUGACGCUGAGGAGCGAAAGCAUGGGGAGCGAACAGG
rnacentral:rRNA from 1 species